rnacentral:tRNA from 1 species
GGGAUUGUAGCUCAAUCGGAAGAGCAUCGGUCUUCGAAACCGAGGGUUGUAGGUUCGAGUCCUACCAAUCUCG